GACGAACGCUGGCGGCGUGCCUAAUACAUGCAAGUAGAACGCUGAAGGGAGAGCUUGCUCUUCUGGAUGAGUUGCGAACGGGUGAGUAACGCGUAGGUAACCUGCCUGGUAGCGGGGGAUAACUAUUGGAAACGAUAGCUAAUACCGCAUAACAUUGACUAUUGCAUGAUAGUCAAUUGAAAGGUGCAAAUGCACCACUACCAGAUGGACCUGCGUUGUAUUAGCUAGUUGGUGGGGUAACGGCUCACCAAGGCGACGAUACAUAGCCGACCUGAGAGGGUGAUCGGCCACACUGGGACUGAGACACGGCCCAGACUCCUACGGGAGGCAGCAGUAGGGAAUCUUCGGCAAUGGACGGAAGUCUGACCGAGCAACGCCGCGUGAGUGAAGAAGGUUUUCGGAUCGUAAAGCUCUGUUGUAAGAGAAGAACGAGUGUGAGAGUGGAAAGUUCACACUGUGACGGUAUCUACCAGAAA
rnacentral:rRNA from 1 species